rnacentral:rRNA from 1 species
AACGAACGCUGGCGGCAUGCCUAACACAUGCAAGUCGAACGAUGCCUUCGGGCAUAGUGGCGCACGGGUGCGUAACGCGUGGGAAUCUGCCUUUCGGUUCGGAAUAACUCAGGGAAACUUGAGCUAAUACCGGAUAACGUCGCAAGACCAAAGAUUUAUCACCGAAGGAUGAGCCCGCGUAGGAUUAGCUAGUUGGUGAGGUAAAGGCUCACCAAGGCGACGAUCCUUAGCUGGUCUGAGAGGAUGAUCAGCCACACUGGGACUGAGACACGGCCCAGACUCCUACGGGAGGCAGCAGUGGGGAAUAUUGGACAAUGGGCGAAAGCCUGAUCCAGCAAUGCCGCGUGAGUGAUGAAGGCCUUAGGGUUGUAAAGCUCUUUUACCCGGGAAGAUAAUGACGGUACCGGGAGAAUAAGCCCCGGCUAACUCCGUG